rnacentral:rRNA from 1 species
AUUGAACGCUGGCGGCAUGCCUUACACAUGCAAGUCGAACGGUAACAGGGUGCUUGCACCGCUGACGAGUGGCGAACGGGUGAGUAAUGCGUCGGAACGUGCCGAGUAGUGGGGGAUAACGCAGCGAAAGUUGUGCUAAUACCGCAUACGUACUGAGGUAGAAAGUGGGGGACUUUCGGGCCUCACGCUAUUCGAGCGGCCGACGCUGGAUUAGCUAGACGGUGAGGUAAAGGCUCCCCUAGGCGACGAGCAGUAGCGGGUCUGGGAGGAUGAUCCGCCACACUGGGACUGAGACACGGCCCAGACUCCUACGGGAGGCAGCAGUGGGGAAUUUUGGACAAUGGGCGAAAGCCUGAUCCAGCCAUGCCGCGUGUCUGAAGAAGGCCUUCGGGUUGUAAAGGACUUUUGUCAGGGAGGAAAUCCCUAGUGCUAAUAACACUGGGGGAUGACAGUACCUGAAGAAUAAGCACCGGCUAACUACGUGCCAGCCGCCGCGGUAA